AUCCAGCUGAAGACUCCCAAAAUAGGACGAAACGCGCGUCCUGAAC
rfam:Schistosoma rodhaini strain Burundi genome assembly, scaffold: SROB_scaffold0003183